UACUAUAUGAAGCAUGAUUCCAAGUCCCAAUUAGAAUGCUAAACCCAUGCAUAAGUCUCACUUGCAAGCUCUCUACUACAUAGAGGUCCGAAAAUGCAUUGUAUAUAACAUAAGCAUUUCAAGCAUUCUAAAAUUCACAAAUAAUGCGUCUAUCAUGAAAAUGCGUGAUUUUUUAUUUUACGAUACUUAAAUCCACAUAAAUGAGAUUUUCUCAUUUGUAGCGAGGUCAAACCCACCGAGAGCUCCAC
rnacentral:lncRNA from 1 species